GAGAGAAAGAAGUCUCUUAUUUAGGAGAAUAUAGUCAAUCCUUGAGCUAUGACAUACCCACUGGGCUUUUUUGUUUGUUCUUCAGCCAGUACAAUUUUUCUUGCUUACCCAGUUUGCUGCUUAUUAAAAAAUUCUCUCUGGGCAAUGCAUCUAGGUAUAUUUUGGAUAAACAUUUGGGGGCGUCAGAAUCAUCUUCAAACGAAAAUGUAAGCAUUUCUUGUCUUGGCUUACUAGGGAUAGCAGCCACAGACUUCUUAUCUUGGUAGUAAGUGAGGCAGCUCAGUUCCUUCUCUUCUUCCCCUAGGGCCCUGGCCUGUCUCCAGCUCUGCGCCUCAGUGGGGGAGGAAGAGAAGGGAGGUAGCUGCCUGCUUGUCUCCAAACAGCAAUGGAAUGCCUUGGCCUGGCUGUUCAGUAAUCCCCUGCCAGCUGGCUGCCUCCCUUUCCUCUGGGAACUCAGUGAAUCACACCUCCGCAGCGCAUUUGGCUCUUGCAAGCCCUGAAGGGCUGGAGGUUUGUGCCUGCCAGCUCCUAAGAGCUGUAGCCCAACUUCUGAGCAUGGAUCAUGUUGGGACUCUGGAAUUUCUGAGCACAAGAGGCUUUCCAGCUGCAGGGGAAGAACACUCAUCUGGAGGCACUGCAGGAUUCAAAGAUACACAAGGGUAACUUGUCAGAAGAGAACAUCCUCCUAUCAGUUCAAAACAACACCGGAAACCAGGAUACAAGACAGCCUCGACUCUGCUACCACUGUGCACUCUCUGGCUGGUGCACACACAGCCUCAGAGUGCUGACUGGGCAACACCAACUGGUCCCUCUCAUUGACAAGAUUAACAUAAAAUAAGGCACAUACAUCGCAAGAAUCAAAACUUUGUGGCUCAAGAGGAAGAGCCAGUGUGUGAGGAGUUGGGAGGGGUUAACUUUUUCAGAAAAACAAAACAAAAAUGGUUAGAAAAAGUUUAACACAGACAUUAAGCAGGAGUACUGUGUGUGAGCCUGCCUGUUUUAGAAAAGGCAGGAUGGUGACACUAGUGAGGCGGUCCUCUCGCUCUAAAUGCGCAGGUUACAGAAAUGGAGAGAGGCUUGGAGGCUGGGGGUGAGUCUCAAGAUAUGAGAUGCCUAGCCUACAGAGAUCCCAAAAGGACGUCCCAAAAGGAUACUUCUAAGAGACCUCAAAAGACCUUCCUUCCACUGGACUGCCAUGACAGAUCACUGAAAUUCUGGAGGAGUACACUUUCUUCUUCCCUCUCUCCUCUCCUCCAUCCUUCUGAAAUUUCCAUAUUGAGAGAAGUCAAACCUUGAGCUGAAACUAGUAUCUCCUGGAAAUCUAAAAGCAGUAGAAAGGAAAGCAAAUAUAUAUAUGUAUGUAUGUGUGUGUGUGUGUGUGUGUGUGUGUGUGUGUAUGAAUGGGGGAAACCCAGAAAACAACCUGAAACCACAGGAAAGAGCAGAAGCACAAGACAACAACAGAGGUGGACCGAUCACUGUGCAUCCCUCGGGAAGGACAAAGCUGAUACGGGAAAUGAUGGUAACUGAGAAAUGGAGGUUGCAUUGAAGAAUACUACUGGAAGAGCCCUCUGAUGGAGGAGGCCAGCAUGGUGCCUUCCAUCCAAGCUCCUUUCUCAGGAGGAAUGAAGAACACUCAGGCCCCAAGCUUUGAAAACAAGAGUUGGAAAGGAAUUGAGCCAAACCAUUAGAGCACACAAGAUAAAACCAGAGAUUUGGAGAUUUGUGGAAAAGUGAGACUGGAUCUCUGAUUUUGUGACAACAUCGUGCCCUGUUUCAGAAACACAGAGAAAAUCUUGCUUUUUCAGCUGAAAAGUGGUAGAGCCUCCACUCUCCUACGCUCAGAUCAGCAGUUCUCUUUUGUUAUGGGGCUGUUCCAAAGGAGACACAUCCUUUAAUUUCAAAGAAGACUUACAUGGGGGAGGACAGCAGGCAUGGAGGGGAAAUUGCGGCAUCCCUCUGCUCGUCUCAGGAACAUCUAGUUGAAAACAAACCCAAUAGUCUUAGCCAAAGUCCCCAACAGCAAAUCAGCCUCCAUGCGGAGAGAUUCUUGGUCCAAAUGAAAGAACAUAAAUAUGAGAAAAGUGGGCUCGUCCUAACACUCUUUCUAUUAUCUAACACUUUAUUUUACUUGAUUUUGUCUUUCUUCUGUAAUUUAAAUGGCAGGAUUAAAGGGGAAAAGCCACAUAAUUGAAUUAUCAAUCACUUGCAAUAAAUCCAAUUCCAGGGGUCAAUGGGACAGAAUACAGCAGGUAGCCUGAGGUGUUAAUAUUUUAAUAGUUUACAUAUUUUUAAAAGCAAUAUGCUGGAAAAUCCAUGUACUCUUUGUGCACACACAGUAUGACUUUUAUGUGUAUCAAAUGCACAUGGGAAGCAGCUGCACUUCAAAAAUCUUUAAAUGUUUUAAUCCAAAAGUACAGAUCCAGUCCACAUUAAGGACUAACUGCAUAUAACACUUAACUUUGUGAAUGGAUGCAGCAUUCAAUAGACAG